AUCCAGCUGACGAGUCCCAAACAGGGCCGAUGACGCGUCCUGGAU
rfam:Schistosoma rodhaini strain Burundi genome assembly, scaffold: SROB_scaffold0000329